rnacentral:rRNA from 1 species
AGUGAACGCUGGCGGUAGGCCUAACACAUGCAAGUCGAACGGCAGCACAGUAAGAUCUUGCUCUUACGGGUGGCGAGUGGCGGACGGGUGAGGAAUACAUCGGAAUCUACUUUUUCGUGGGGGAUAACGUAGGGAAACUUACGCUAAUACCGCAUACGACCUACGGGUGAAAGCAGUGGAUCUUCUGACCUUGCGCGAUUGAAUGAGCCGAUGUCGCAUUAGCUUGUGGGGGGGGUAAAGUCCCACCAAGGCGACGAUCCGUAGCUGGACUGAGAGGAUGGUCGGCCGCACUAGAAGUGAGACACGGUCCAGACUACUACGGGACGCAGCAGUGGGGAAUAGUGGGCAAUGGGCGGGAACCUGAUCCAGCCACACCGAGUGUGUGACGGAGGCCCUCGGGUUGUAAAGCCCUCUUUUUGGGAGAGAACAGCAGCCGCUUAAUACCACGCGGUUGUGACGGUACUGAAUGAAUAAGCACCGGCUAACUACGUG